GCAUCUGUCCCUAGAUUUUGAAUUAUUUUCCUAACUAGUUCAUUCUAUAUAUAAAUCUACAAAUCAAACUUUCUUUAAAAAAUACUCAAAAAGUCUUUAAAAAAUUCUUUUUACACUUUUGAUAACUUCCAUUUCUCCUUGUACUUAUCCUCAUACACACAUAUUAGGUUCUACCAGCUUACCUAGGAGUCAGGAAGGUACAAGUCUUCUGGCUGCUCCAUCAGAUGUUGACAUGUUAGACCAAAGAAUUUCCCUAGCCUCAACAUGCACUGCUAAUUCUUAACCCCAAAUUAUUUUAGGUCAGAUUUAUUUACCUGACAUUAAUAACAGAGGUCAUUCAUAGGUGGUUCUAAGUAUUAAAUC
rnacentral:lncRNA from 1 species